GACGUAGGGCGCGAGCGUUGUCCGGAAUUAUUGGGCGUAAAGAGCUCGUAGGCGGCUUGUCGCGUCGGAUGUGAAAGCCCGGGGCUUAACUUCGGGUCUGCAUUCGAUACGGGCAGGCUAGAGUUCGGUAGGGGAGAUCGGAAUUCCUGGUGUAGCGGUGAAAUGCGCAGAUAUCAGGAGGAACACCGGUGGCGAAGGCGGAUCUCUGGGCCGAUACUGACGCUGAGGAGCGAAAGCGUGGGGAGCGAACAGG
rnacentral:rRNA from 1 species